AUCAAAUUCACCACCACCAAGGUGUACUUACCUUAAUUCAGCAAGGCAAUGUUCCUAGUCCUGUUCAGUGUGUCCCCAUCUGACGUCACUCUAGCCUUGCAGAGGUCCAAAACACAUCUAGAGAGGAUCAUUUAACUGGCUCAGAAGGUAUACCCGCCCUCUGAGCAGGCAAGUGUAGGGCGAGUGGGAGUGAGUGCAUAGGAAGCAAAAAGGUCUGGAUCAGAUAGUAAGUUUACAAUUAAGGAGGGUGGGAGGAGAGCAAUCUCUGCCUGCACGGGGAAAAAUUAUGCCUGUUGCCAGCGUACAGUGCGUGCCAAGAGACGCAUUUUUUUUUAAUGCACAGAACAUUAGGCAGCCCAAAACAGAGGUUUAGGCUACUUAAGUCACGUGUGCUGGGGGUGCAACUUGCCUUAGCAAACAAUUAACAACAUUUCUAACUGAAACACUGCACAUCCAGACUCCUACCACCAUGACCUCUUCAAAAAACAGAAGUGGUUGGAGUAACCCUUUAAUGCAACGGUAUACACAAUCAGGAAAUCCAUUUUGGGGUUGUUGUUUUUUUACCCAUUUAUAUUAUACCUGCAGUCAAGCGUUAUAAUAUCCAUAAUAUAAAUAUCUUCUUACAGGAGGUUUAUAAUUUCCUUUUGUGUACAAUCUGCCAAGCAUGAUUAUGGACCAAGUUUGCUCAAAUGCACAGCAAUACCUUUACUAUAGUAAGCAAUGGUAGUCCACGUAAGAGGCAAGAGUCUCCUGAAUAAAGAAAAUUGACUUCAAAUAUAGCCAAUGAGUAUUUUGAACAUUUAGGACAAUAUAGUCACGCUGACACUUAUAUACCUGCAAAUUCAGUAUAUAUGAAUGGCUUUUCAUCUUCCAUCCUUAAGACAUUAGAGGACGUUUAAAGGGUACUCCCACUAGUUUUUAAACACUUACCAUUAGUGCAAAAGUUAGCCUUCCAGAGUUUUCUUUGCAAGUGCACACAUGUAAGUACAGUAACAAUCAGAUGCAACUUCCUGUAACCUGAACUAUCAAGAACGAGGCUCAGUAAUGUUUGUGCAACCCAUAGGAAUUGGGAAAUAAUAGUUAUAGGGAAACCAUCACAGGGUUUUACAAAAUAUUGCUGACACUCACAAGCCAGAGGGAAUUCAAGUAUCAAUAUGCCCAGAGAGCAUACCUUUGAGAUUUCAUCAAUUAAAC